CCGCGGGUGUCCGAGAAACCAGACAAGGAGUCAGGCAGAGAGCGCACUUGGUAAAGGCGACAGGAACGCCGCUCAUGAGGUGACGUAAUCCGGCACUUAGCGUCGACCUCGCGCCGCCUCGACGUCGUCGUUUCAUCCCUCCUGUCAGACGCCCCGCGGGAAUCUGGCUCCUAUUACUGUCUCUCUCACUCUCAUUCACUUCACCUCCUUAUUAUAUGUCUCUAUACUAAAUUCUCCGCUUUCUGUUUUUCAUCUGUUACAACUUAUUUAUGUUUCAAACGACCCCUCUAGGUGUAGAUACGUUGGUGGUGAUUAUUUGCAACGCCCCUAAGUGCUUGAAUGACAUUUUAGACACUCACUGGUUGACUGAUUCAAGCAUCCAGAAUAGAGUUGAAGACAAUGAGAUAAAUGCAGAAUCAACAACACGAUGAACAUCAAGUAUACUGGUGCAUAUGGGGAAUAAAAACUGUCAGGUAGUGGUGAAAAUUCUAUAAGGUCUAAAAAAUGAAUGGAGAAGUCAAAGCUGUGUCUUGGUGAUGGAUAUUGUUUUAUUGAUAGAUUUUUGCUUCACGUCAGUCGAGCAUAUAGUGAAGUCAAACCCGUCAGCGGGAAACGUGACCAUUGAUACAUCAAUAUCGACGAAUGACACGUCAAGUACGUGAUGAGUAGCGCGUCCCUGUGCAACGUCAAUCAACUAUCUUUGUGAAGCGCACCAGAGUGUAGUCAACAUGAACAAUAUGUGACACAUUAAUAACAUACUGCACAUACACAUAGAUUCACACAUCAGUAUAUCACAAAGAUGUUUGAAGAUUCUCCUACUAUAUUAAACAUCAGCAGGUUGAUGAUGAAUCGUCCAUGAAAGAUGUCCUAUAAAAAUAAUUAUCUACUUUCUGCAAUCAUCACAAUCUUAAGUACAGAAAAUUAUAUUAAUUAACAGCAUUC